rnacentral:misc_RNA from 1 species
AAAUAUCAAAGGGCUUUUGUUCAUUUCAACCACGCUACAAAAAAUGAGUGUGUUUUGGAUAUAGGAGGAUAAAGAUUUCUCCUUGUGGGUUUUUUCUUAGAGGAGUCCAAGGAAUGAGCAGAGAUGAUGUUGACCCAGGAGAACGGCGCCACUCAAAACCACCCACAGCUACUACACGAUCACGACCUUACAUGUGGCUGACCAAAUUCCAAAAAGAUCUGAUGGCGGGUGCGUUCAUGGGAGGAGUGGUGCACGCGAUCAUCGCCCCAAUCGAGAGGGCCAAGCUGUUGGUACAAAACCAGGAGAGUAACCCGGCAAUUAUGG